CCCACCGGUGGAUCUCUUCUUAUCCCUUCCUCUUCCUGGCAGCAGAACAGGCGAUGCCACCCACGCACCAUCGAUGCCUUGCAGCCGACUGAUCCGGGGUUCUUCCACGCGGGCGAGCAGAGGCACCCCAUGGCGCCACCUCCUCCUCUCCUUCUCCUGGCGCGCGAAGACCUCGACGGAGCGACCUCCAUCGCGUCAUCGAUCUGGCCGCUGCCUCACCUGCGGCUCAAUCUGAUCUGGGAGAGAUGGUGAGGGGUGGGGGCGGCGGAGUAAGGGGAAAGGGAGAGGGAGAUCCGGUGCAGGACUACCGCGCUGCAGACUUGAGGCACCCAACCCCGGCCACCUCGACGACUCUGCCUCCUCAAGGACGACCUCCACCACCUCCCUGCUGCCCAGAAGCGACGAGGCCGCCGCCUCUCGGCAACUUCCCGCAGAAAUUCCCCUUCAGAUUUUUUUUUGAAUUUUAAAUUCCCCUUCAGAUAGUGGAGAGGCAUCGCUCCCAUAGUCUUCAGCAUCAGUGUCGUCACAGAUCCGUUCUCUUUUUCAUCAAGUUGGCUGGGGGCUUUGGCCACAUGACAACUUUCAUUUGAAAUAUAGAAGAUAUGAAUCAGUGAAGUUGAUGUCAUACCACUCAUGUUUCGGCACUGUGCGAACAAACUUUGAGAUCUAUAUUGCCAUCCCAACAGAUGAAAAAUACUAUGAUGGGUAUAUCAUUGACAACCAAUGGUUUUUUUAUGCUUGAAAAAUACUUCAUCGCUGCAAUAUGAUGGUAAGAUAUGUUUUGUUUUCCUCUAAGGAAACUUCAUAACUCAAACACGGUUUUAGUUUUGCAGCAUUGUAGAGUUCUUUUGAGCGUAUGGGAUUCCAAAUCAUAUUCUGAUUUUUCAUUCACAAUGCUUUCUUCAUUCCCAUUAUCUUGACCUUCAUGGUAAUAAUUGCCACCUAAAUCUAGAAAAUAAUCACUGGUUAUGUAUGGUUCAACAUUUGUGCAUCACCAGUUGUAAAGGGUUCAGUAUAUCAAUUCGUUGAAGUUUGUUGCUAUAUUCAUAUGUACAUUUCUAUCAAAUGUACAUGAUUUCAUUUUUGUUGGUGGUGUAGACUCAUUGGAUUAUUCCAUUUUUUUUGUCAAUUUGAUUGUGGGAAUGACCCAAAAUUUGCCAAAGGAGUAGUGCAGUGGGUGCUCAAAUCUUCAUAUUUCGGCUGCUUUAAAAUGAUUUGGCGUCUGCAAGUAAUGUUCCCUUCUUAUUGUGAGUAACGUGGGGCAAAAUCUUCAUGAAAUACUGUAGAGAACUAGGCCAUUACCAAUCUAGGUGCCAUCAGCUUUGUGACCAUGUUUAUUACUCUCACUUACAAUUUUGUUGUCUUUUACUUUUGGUCUGGUAAGGGAUCUUUUAUGUACCAUCUCAUGGUAGUAUUUUUUCCUUCUAAUUGUAUAGUUCAUCUAUGCUGAAAUACAUGCAAAAAAAAAUUUAAAGUGGGCCGUGUUCUUGCCCCGUUUGCUACUUGAUGCAUCUGUCCUUUUUCCUCCCAUGUCAUGACUGUCAUGUGAUCAAUCUUUUUGUUGGGAAUAGUAAUAUAUCUAUUUCUUUUUUAUCAUUUUGUUGAUCUAUUCGUCAAAAAAUAAAUAUCUAUUGCUAUUUUGUAUAACUAUGAGCUUCCUUAUUGACAUCUAUUGUUACUAAUCCAGCAGGGCUCCUGACUCCAUGGCGUGCCUUAGUCUUUUGGUGGGCAUAUUUAAAGUUGAGGGAUCUUUUAUUACAUUUCAAUUUGCUUUGGAAAUGUUCUGCCGGCUCAAGUGCUCAUGUCAAGGAAUAUAGCUCUAUUUUUCUUAGAUUUUUCAUUUGCCUUGCAAUGCUAAUGGAGAGAAGGCAACAAAAUUAUUCGAGGGAUAGAGAUUGUUAACGAAUAGAUCAACAAAUUAUUUGCCAUGGAAAUUGCUAUUUGGAGACCUGGUGCAUUCGGAAAGUCUGUAACGACCAGGUCUUGCAUCAUGUACUUCCAAACUUUGGUUGGUGCAGGAUUCCCGAUAGCAGUAGCACCUACACAUAGAACUGUACUGGAGAGUGAAAAGGCCAUGGGGAGUUCACCCUGCUGAGAGAUUCCGACGGACAAGAUCCAACGAGCGGUGUAGAGGGGAAUCCACCAAAUUCGUUGGGAAACCAAAUUGCCUUCAGCCCAUAUUUGGACACUUUAUGGAUUCAUUAUCUACCUUAAAAAGCUCCAGAAGUAUAUGGCCAUAUGGGCUAUUGCCUUGACAUCCCAGGGUCGUAGCAACUAAUUCAUACAUUGUGUUGCGCUCAUUCAUGAUACCACCCAUUCACAAACAAAGUUGCAUGCUAUACAUGUCUAUGAGAAAUUGGUGAGAUUGACAAACAAUUCUACUAGUGAUAGAGGGCAAGCUAGCUACUCCAAUGUUGGGCACAAGAGCUAAAAACAUCCAGCACUAAUUAUAUAUGUGAUGCACCGAUCAAUGUAAGUGUGAAUUAAGUUGCACAAGUGUUUCACUAGAGAAUCUAA